UCCAGGUAUCUAGAAAGUGAGAAGUAUGUGAUCAUUACCACAAUCCCCUGUAGGAAUAAGCCAUCAACCACACAGGAGAACUGAAGCACAAAGGUUACAUUCUAGAGUGUCUGUACUCUAGCUGAAAGCUGUCUGGCAUCCGCCAGGAUGGAGAGAACAAGCCUAAAAGCCCUUCCGCACACCUACGGGCCGCCAGCAUACACCUUCAAGCAGUCGUUUCUGCCUUGACUGCCUAGUGCAUGCCAGGAGUUUCAACCAGCAAUCACCAAGGAAUUCAGUGAACCACUGUUACAACUACAUGCAGAUCUGAAGAGUUUGGCUGUACACGGCUACUUGAAGCAGAAACCCCAAAUUUCUUUUCUGCCUUUGAAACAAAGCAGCUAAAAACGUGGAUGGGUUUACGACCGCCAGCUCACUUUUGCCUGACAAAUUCCUCCGUCACUAGCUUCUUCACAUCACCAAAGACCUUGUGUUUUUCCCUGGAAAGAGGAGAGAACAGGACUCUAUCAGGGGACACAAUAUCAGAUGAGCAACGAGUUCUUUGCUUCCCCAAUCACCGAUAUAAUUCCAUCCCCCUUCACUGCCCGGCUUCCACAGAGCAGUCCAUCAUACCCAGAGCAUUCAACUCGAAGCCUCCUCAGCAUCUCCCAAACAGCGGCUGGAUGGAGAGAAAGCAAGAGAUAAAGGGUUGGCAAAGUGAGGCUAGCAAGGAAAUGGGAGUGAACAGAGUGGCAGUGAAACUUACACUCUUUGACCACAUUGCCCUUCAUGAAGAUGAGGCUGAGAAUGGCUAUGAGGAGGCCCAUCUUGGGGCUGUUCUCAUCUCUGCAAAAGAAGAAGAGAAUCAGCCUCCUCAUUUGGAAGCGAACACUGUGGCUUUGCUAACGUAAACAGAAGCCUGGGUUACCAAGUGAGAAGCAAGCUUUCUAAAA